AAUGAACGUUGGCGGCGUGGAUUAGGCAUGCAAGUCGAGCGCGAACCCCGCAAGGGGUGAAAGCGGCGAAAGGGAGAGUAACGCGUGGGUAUCUGCCCUCGGGACUGGGAUAGCUGCGGGAAACUGCAGGUAAUACCAGAUGACGUCCCCGGACCAAAGGUGUGAUUCCGCCUGAGGAUGAGCUCGCGUCCUAUUAGCUAGUUGGUAGGGUAAUGGCCUACCAAGGCAAUGAUGGGUACUGGGUGUGAGAGCACGACCCAGCUCACUGGGACUGAGACACUGCCCAGACACCUACGGGUGGCUGCAGUCGAGAAUCUUCGGCAAUGGGCGAAAGCCUGACCGAGCGACGCCGCGUGUGGGAUGAAGGCCUUCGGGUUGUAAACCGCUGUCAGAGGGGAGGAAUGGGCGGAGGGUAAUCUCUUCGUUUUGACCUAUCCUCAGAGGAAGUACGGGCUAAGUUCGUGCCAGCAGCCGCGGUAA
rnacentral:rRNA from 1 species